rnacentral:rRNA from 1 species
GAAACCCAAACUCACAGUUGCGAGCAGAUCCCUUCGGGGAUGCUGGGCACUCUGUGGGGACCGCCAUCGCUAAGAUGGAUGAAGGUUUGGGCCACGGCAGGUCAGUAUCGGAUGCGGAGUUGCGAACUCCCAUUCGCCGAAGCCCCGAAUCCCCUGGGCCACACGCGGACUGCAAAGGCGAGGACAAUGGGUUGCUACCUCGAAAGGGGACGCUAAUCCCGAAACCUCGUCGUAGUUAGGAUUGCGGGUUGCAACUCACCCGCAUGAAUAUGGAAUCCCUAGUAACCGUGUGUCACCAUCGCACGGUGAAUAC